UACGUAGGCAGCAAGCGUUGUUCGGAAUUACUGGGCGUAAAGAGUGUGUAGGCGGUGCUCUAAGUCUGUUGUGAAAUCUCCCGGCUUAACCGGGAGGGUGCGGCGGAAACUGGAGUGCUUGAGGGUGGGAGAGGUAAGCGGAAUUCCUGGUGUAGCGGUGAAAUGCGUAGAUAUCAGGAGGAACACCUGUGGUGUAGACAGCUUACUGGACCACUUCUGACGCUGAGGCACGAAAGCGUGGGUAGCAAACAGG
rnacentral:rRNA from 1 species